rnacentral:rRNA from 1 species
AAGUCGUAACAAGGUUUCCGUAGGUGAACCUGCGGAAGGAUCAUUAACACGUAUCCACGUAUCAACCCCUCUGUGAAAACACAAAACCUGAAGGUUUGGUCUUAGUCUACUGUGCGCUAUGGGUCCCAAUGAUGGAGUAGUCUUCGGACUACUGGGGCUUGUACGGUAGGUGCUUGACGAUCAACCGCUAUUUUCCCAUUGUUAGCCCUUUUACAACAUUUAACCCCUUGUACUCUUUUGUACUGAACCAAUUCUUUCGAUGCUCGCAAGAGCGAUUCGAAAUGAUAUUACGAAACUAAAGAACAACUCUUAGCAACGGAUAUCUUGGUUCCCGCAACGAUGAAGAACGCAGCGAAAUGCGAUACGUAAUGCGAAUUGCAGAAUUCAGUGAAUCAUCAAAUCUUUGAACGCAAAUUGCACUCUCGGGUACACCCGGGAGUACGCUUCUUUCAGUAUCGGUUCUAUCAAAGCUCGCCUGCGUUUUGAGCUUGCUCAGAGCGUCUUUGUGCGGAAAUUGAGUGUCGUACUUGUCGAGAGUGCGUCGCUUGAAAGGUAGAAACGGUAGUUCCGUCGUCUCGUACGAACUCAUUGGCUUCCCUGGGCUUGCCUAGGGCUGAAGCAUACUGAGUGACGUGGUUAAGUUCGCCUUCGUGCGACACAAUACCUCGUCGCCAACUCGGUGCGCAUCAGUGUCAUUCGAGGAAGGGACAUUCUAUUCCGUUCCUUGGAUUAUAACCAAACAACAAAAUCAGAUCUGAAAUGAAGUGAGAGGACCCGCUGAACUUAA